rnacentral:tRNA from 1 species
GUCCCCGUAGCUCAGCCCGGAUAGAGCAACGGAUUUCUAAUCCGUCGGUCGCUGGUUCGAAUCCAGCCGGGGACG